rnacentral:rRNA from 1 species
UACGGAGGGUGCGAGCGUUGUCCGGAAUCACUGGGCGUAAAGGGCGCGUAGGCGGCCUGGCAAGUCGAUGGUGAAAGCCCGAGGCUCAACUUCGGGUCGGCCACUGAUACUGCUGGGCUUGAGUCGACUAGAGGCAGAUGGAAUUCCGGGUGUAGCGGUGGAAUGCGUAGAGAUCCGGAAGAACACCGGUGGCGAAGGCGGUCUGCUGGGGUCGAACUGACGCUGAGGCGCGACAACGUGGGGAGCAAACAGG